CCUACGGGUGGCAGCAGUCGAGAAUCAUUCACAAUGGGGGAAACCCUGAUGGUGCGACGCCGCGUGGGGGAAUGAAGGUCUUCGGAUUGUAAACUCCUGUCAUGUGGGAGCAAAUUAAAAAGAUAGUACCACAAGAGGAAGAGACGGCUAACUCGGUGCCAGCAGCAGCGGUAAUACAGAGGUCUCAAGCGUUGUUCGGAAUUACUGGGCGUAAAGCGUGCGUAGGCUGUCUCGUAAGUCGUGUGUGAAAGGCGGGGGCUCAACCCGCGGACGGCACAUGAUACUGCUAGACUAGAGAGAUGGAGGGGGAAGCGGAAUGUUAGGUGUAGCAGUGAAAUGCGUAGAUAU
rnacentral:rRNA from 1 species